CAGUAGCCGCGGGAAUACGAAGGGGGCUAGCGUUGUUCGGAAUUACUGGGCGUAAAGCGCACGUAGGCGGAUAUUUAAGUCAGGGGUGAAAUCCCGCAGCUCAACUGCGGAACUGCCUUUGAUACUGGGUAUCUUGAGUAUGGAAGAGGUUAGUGGAAUUGCGAGUGUAGAGGUGAAAUUCGUAGAUAUUCGCAGGAACACCAGUGGCGAAGGCGGCUAACUGGUCCAUAACUGACGCUGAUGGACGAAAGCGUGGGGAGCGAACAGGAUUAGAUACCCCAGUAGUCCCUGUCUCUUAUAC
rnacentral:rRNA from 1 species